rnacentral:rRNA from 1 species
UAUGGCCACCCACCCUGAAUGUGCCCAAUCUCAUCUGAUCUCGGAAGCUGAGCAGGGUUGGGCCUGGUCAGUUCUUGGUUAGGGAUACACCAAACUUUAAAUCAGAGGUGCCCAACC